rnacentral:rRNA from 1 species
UACGUAGGUGGCAAGCGUUGUCCGGAAUCACUGGGCGUAAAGCGCGCGCAGGCGGCGAUCUACGUCUGGGGUGAAAGCCCGGAGCUCAACUCCGGGACUGCCUUGGAUACGGGAUCGCUUGAGGAUUGGAGAGGCAAGGGGAAUUCCACGUGUAGCGGUGAAAUGCGUAGAGAUGUGGAGGAACACCUGUGGCGAAGGCGGCAUCCUGGCCAUGUACUGACGCUCAGGGGCGAAAGCGUGGGGAGCAAACCGG